rnacentral:lncRNA from 1 species
AAUAAUGCUUAGAUUUGCCCUUUUGAGGCUAUUUUUUUUUUUUUUUUUUAGAUCCUGUAGGUGUGCUUCAUUUUGUGGUGUCAAAACCAGCCAGGAACAUGUUUUUCCCUUUGGAGCGGUGAGUUUUCACAGGCCCCAGUAUGGUUCAGAGGUGCUGUCCACAAAUCCUAGAAACAACCCAGAUGUCCUUCAACAGAGGAAUGGUUAAACUGCAUAAGAUCUAGUCCAUGGAAUACUACUGAGCAAGAAAGGACAUGAACUUUUAGAUACAGGCAACAAUUAGGAUCAAUCUCCAGGGA